rnacentral:tRNA from 1 species
AGAGGGUUAGUCCAAAUAAGACUUCUGAUUUCGGCUUAGACAACUAUGGUGAAAAUCCAUAACCCUCUU